AACGCGAAGAACCUUACCCAGAUUUGACAUGCAGUAGACAACGCUAGAAAUAGCGCGUUCCUUCGGGACUGCUGCACAGGUGCUGCAUGGCUGUCGUCAGCUCGUGCCGUGAGGUGUUUGGUUAAGUCCAGCAACGAGCGCAACCCUUAUCACUAGUUGCCAACACGUAAUGGUGGGAACUCUAGUGAGACUGCCUGGGUUAACCAGGAGGAAGGUGAGGAUGACGUCAAGUCCGCAUGGCCCUUAUAUUUGGGGCUACACACGUGCUACAAUGGUCGGUACAGAAGGCAGCGAAAUCGCGAGAUGGAGCAAAUCCCAAAAGCCGGCCUCAGUUCAGAUUGCAGUCUGCAACUCGACUGCAUGAAGACGGAAUUGCUAGUAAUGGCGGGUCAGCAACACCGCCGUGAAUACGUUCCCGGGCCUUGUACACACCGUAGUAC
rnacentral:rRNA from 1 species